UACGUAGGGUGCGAGCGUUAAUCGGAAUUACUGGGCGUAAAGCGUGCGCAGGCGGUUUUGCAAGUCAGAUGUGAAAUCCCCGGGCUCAACCUGGGAACUGCAUUUGAGACUGCAAGGCUAGAGUGUAGCAGAGGAGGGUAGAAUUCCACGUGUAGAAGUGAAAUGCGUAGAGAUGGGGAGGAAUACCGAUGGCGAAGGCGGCCCCCUGGGUUACUACUGACGCUCAUGCACGAAAGCGUGGGGAGCAAACAGGAUUAGAUACCCUGGUAGUCCACGCCCUAAACGAUGUCAACUAGAUGUUGGAAGGGUUAAACCUUUUAGUGUCGUAGCUAACGCGUGAAGUUGACCGCCUGGGGAGUCCGGCCCCAAGGCUAAAACUCAAAGGAGUUGACGGGGACCCGCACAAGCGGAGGAUGAUGUGGAUUAAUUCGAUGCAACGCGAAAAACCUUACCUACCCUUGACAUGUCAGGAAUCCUUGAAAGAUUGAGGAGUGCCCGAAAGGGAGCCUGAACACAGGGGCUGCAUGGCCGUCGUCAGCUCGGGUCGGGAGAUGUUGGGUUAAGUCCCGCAACGAGCGCAACCCUUGUCAUUAAUUGCCCUCCUUUAGUUGGGCCCCUUAAUGAGACUGCCGGUGGCCAACCGGAGGAAGGUGGGGAAGACGUCAAGUCCUCCUGGCCCUUAUGGGUAGGGCUUCCCCCCUCAUACAAUGGUCGGUUCCGAGGGUCACCAACCCGCGAGGGGGAGGUAAUUUCCGAAAACCGAUCGUAGUUCGGAUUGCAGUCUGCAACUCGAGGGCAUGAAGUCGGAAUCGCUAGUAAUCGCGGAUCAGCAUGUCGCGGUGAAUACGUUCCCGGGUCU
rnacentral:rRNA from 1 species